UACAGGGGGUGCAAACGUUGCUCGGAAUCAUUUGGGCGUAAAGCGCACGUAGGCGGUCUGUUAUGUCGGAUGUGAAAGCCCUUGGCUCAACUGAGGAAGUGCAUCCGAAACUGGCAGGCUAGAGUACUAAAGAGGGAUCGCGGAAUUCCCGGUGUAGUGGUGGAAUGCGUAGAUAUCGGGAGGAACACCAGUGGCGAAGGCGGUUGCCUGGGGCUUUGCUGACGCUGAUGCGCGAAAGCGUGGGGAGCGAACG
rnacentral:rRNA from 1 species